GCCGGUGUGGCGCAGUUGGCAGCGCAGGCGAUUUGUAAUCGUCAGGUCGGGGGUUCGAAUCCCUCCACCGGCA
rnacentral:tRNA from 2 species